rnacentral:rRNA from 1 species
UGCAGCCGCGCGGUCAGCAAUGGCAGCGGCGGACGGGUGCGUAACGCGUAGGAACGUGUCCUGAGGUGGGGGACAACCCUGGGAAACUGGGGCUAAUACCGCAUAUGGGCUGAGGCCCAAAGCCGAAAGGCGCCUUAGGAGCGGCCUGCGUCCGAUUAGCUAGUUGGUGGGGUAAAGGCCUACCAAGGCUCCGAUCGGUAGCUGGUCUGAGAGGACGAUCAGCCACACUGGGACUGAGACACGGCCCAGACUCCUACGGGAGGCAGCAGUGGGGAAUAUUGGACAAUGGGCGCAAGCCUGAUCCAGCAAUGCCGCGUGGGUGAAGAAGGUCUUCGGAUCGUAAAGCCCUUUCGACAGGGACGAUGAUGACGGUACCUGUAGAAGAAGCCCCGGCUAACUUCGUGCCAGCAGCCGCGGUAAUACGAAGGGGGCUAGCGUUGCUCGGAAUUACUGGGCGUAAAGGGCGCGUAGGCGGCUUAUUCAGUCAGGCGUGAAAUUCCUGGGCUUAACCUGGGGUCUGCGUUUGAGACGGCUAGGCUA